GAGCUUUUUUUUGGUGAGUGAUUCAUGUAAAUAUUGAGAUUUAGAUAAAUCUAAGAAGAGAGUGAUGAAUCUGGAAGCUAAUUUAGAAGAAAUAGAAAUUAGGGUUUCCUCCUGCCAUACAUUUCUUCUUCUUCUGCAACAAACUCAUACCAUACUUUUCUUCUCCGACAAACCAUAGUUUUUCCUCAUGAGUCAGUUGAGUUGUUGCCGUCAAUUUGAAAAAUGGGUCUCGAGAUUUCACAUAAAAAAGGGUUUUGUGAGAUUCGAUUUGGAUUGAUUCUCUGUGGGAUUUGUUUUCAACAACAGAAGGUGACGAUAAACCCUCAUCUUUUGCGAACCUAAUUUUCUCCAGCGAUGUCCACUACCAACUCCUUUCUUCUCCUAAUCAGGUAUGAAUUCUAUUUCUCUCUAUUCUGCUUGCUUUUGAUUUUUUUUCAUUUUUGUGUGUAUGAUGAUAUGAACUUCUAAAGUCUUUGUUGGAUUUUAAGUUGAUUAAUGGUAGACCAAGACGUUUUGUGUGUUUUUGAUUCCUCCUUCUCCAUGUUUUUCUAAUUCUACAAAUUUUACCUUUCCAUCUCCCUGGAAUACAACAUGGUACUGGCCUUUCUCUUCUUGCUCAUGGAGUACAUUAAGAGACUUAAUUAUAGGUCAACACACAAACUCUUUCCACUUUGAAUUAAGAAUUUUGUUUAAUUUGUUUUCAAUGUCUUCAGGGUUUAAAAUAAUGCUGCUUUGAAGAGAAUAUUGGAAAAUAAUAAACAGAGAAAUAAUAAUUCAUUAUUGUCUCCCGAUAAUUUCCUAGACAAUAUUUUAUUUGCCUUAUUUUAGCCACGUUGUUAACUGUAUAUGCCUACAAACAUGGAAAGAAGGAGCUGAAGUUGAGUUUCGAUGUUGAAAUCUUGGCCUUUAUGGAGGAAACUGGAAAUCUCGCGCAAGCCAUUAGAGAAAGUUAGAUCAUAGGUCAUCAUUAGAUCGAAUUUUAGAUUAUCGUUCCGUGAGUGAUUUAAUUUAAUUUGUGCUAACAUGUUUUGGUUGUUUCAGGUACAACUGAUUGAGCCUGUAGAUGGCAGGUAACUUCCUUAGGUCCAUCUCACCUUUUUGCAUUGAAUUUGUGAAUUUGAUUUUCUAGAUUGGUUAUCUACCGAAGGAAAAAUUGUGCAUUGCGAAGCCAACCAACACAAGGAAUAUCUGUUGCUACAUACAUGAAGUUGUGGAGCUGCUGCGACGUGCAAAUCAAUCUAUGAAUAUUAAUGUUGUUCUAGCAUACCCGUUGUUGCUGUUGCGUGAAUGGAGCUGAUGCAACCUACUGAUGUGAUGUGCCCGUUGCUUCUGCAUACAUGAUGUUGUUGAUACGUACUGCUCCCACUGCUUUGUACCUGCGCACCUGCUGAUGUAGCUGCUCCGUACGUGCUGUUGUUGCUGCUGGACGCAUAAACCUGCAUGUGCACCUGAUGUGCUGCGAACAAGGUGCUACUGCCCCAGUACUUGCCUGCCGUGUAACUACCAGUUUUUCUUCGAACAAGGUGCUCCUGCUGCGAAACUGUUGUUGGUGCGAACAAGCUUAUGUACCUGUUGCCGAGCAAGCAAGGCAUUGUUGUUGCUGCUGCUGCUCCACGUACUGCUGAUGCUACCUUUUGAUGUGGUGUUCCUGAUGGAAAUUAGGGUUCUAUUUAUUAUUCUUCUUGACCACCCAAAAUAUUUCACCCUUUCUCUCUGCCCUUUUGAUUUAUUUGUUUUCUUCAUUGUAUGAUUACGUUAACAAUAUGGGUUCCGUGCACAAAAGCCUCAAUUUCCUAACUCUACAAUUCGAAUUGCGAGAAUCUCAUUGUAUUUAUUUACCUAUUCAUUUCUUA